GGGCAACAUUAGGAAACCCUAAAAUGGCUAGUGAAGAGCUCAAGCUCAAGCUAAGAUCUGAAAUUUGUCCUUCUCGCCAAUGAUAGUUCCAAUUGAUGUUUCUCCUUGUGUAUCUUAGAGCCCUAAUUUUAUCUUGGGUAAACCAAAUGAUAUAUUUGCAUUUGAUGCAUUAUGGAUUGAAGAUUAUCCAUCUUUGCUGAGAUGGAGAUACUUCAGAAACCAAAUCUGGUGGUUUAUCAUCAGGAGGCUUCUCCUCAGGUUUGGUGGUUGCCUGUGACCCACAUCUAGCUGUUGUUUCUCUACUGAUAUGGAUGCUUGAUUUGCAUGUUGUUGCUUCUUCAUUGAUUUGGUUUUAUCACUUUGUUGUUGCAUCUGCUCCUUCUCUUCUUCCCUUUCUUUUUUUGAUCUAAAUUCUGGGUGGAUACUGCAACAACCAUCCAUGUCAUGCCCUUGUAAUUUUCAUUGUGUGCAAUACUAUGGCAAAUAGUCAUACCGAAUUUAUUGCCACUUUGAUCGCAUUUCCCCAGUAUCAUCAUCAAGACAAUUGAUUUGGAUCCUUUUUGGUAAUUCCUUUAAUAAUUCCACUUCCAC